UAAGUGAAAGCCAACAAGGCACUUAUCUGUUACAUAAGUCUCUGCUAGUAUCUAGCUCACUUAA
rnacentral:tRNA from 1 species